CAAUAGCGUAUAUUAAAGUUGUUGCGGUUAAAAAGCUCGUAGUUGGAUUUCUGCUGAGGACGACCGGUCCGCCCUCUGGGUGAGUAUCUGGCUUGGCCUUGGCAUCUUCUUGGAGAACGUAGCUGCACUUGACUGUGUGGUGCGGUAUCCAGGACUUUUACUUUGAGGAAAUUUAGAGUGUUUCAAGCUAGGCACACGCCUUGAAUACAUUAGCAUGGAAUAAUAAGAUAGGACCUUGGUUCUAUUUUGUUGGUUUCUAGUACUGAAGUAAUGAUUGAUAGGGAUAGUUGGGGGUGGCUAGUAUUGGCCGGCCAUGGCAGGGUG
rnacentral:rRNA from 1 species